rnacentral:rRNA from 1 species
GACGAACGCUGGCGGCGUGCUUAACACAUGCAAGUCGAACGGAAAGGCCCUGCUUUUGUGGGGUGCUCGAGUGGCGAACGGGUGAGUAACACGUGAGUAACCUGCCCUUGACUUUGGGAUAACUUCAGGAAACUGGGGCUAAUACCGGAUAGGAGCUCCUGCUGCAUGGUGGGGGUUGGAAAGUUUCGGCGGUUGGGGAUGGACUCGCGGCUUAUCAGCUUGUUGGUGUGGUAGUGGCUUACCAAGGCUUUGACGGGUAGCCGGCCUGAGAGGGUGACCGGCCACAUGGGGACUGAGAUAGGGCCCAGACGCCUACGGGAGGCAGCAGUGGGGAAUAUUGCACAAUGGGCGGAAGCCUGAUGCAGCAACGCCGCGUGCGGGAUGACGGCCUUCGGGGUGUAAACCGAUUUCGCAUGUGACGAAGCGUGAGUGACGGUAAUGGGUAAAGAAGCAACGGCUAACUACGUG